AGCGAACGCUGGCGGCAGGCCUAACACAUGCCAGUCGAACGAACCUUUCGGGGCUAGUUGCGGUCGGGGGAGUAAGACGUGGGAACGUGCCUGUAGGUUAGGUAUCACUCAGGGAGACUUGUGCUAAUACCAAGAGUGCUCUUCGGGGGUAAUAUUAACCGAUUUUAGAGCGGCCGGCGACAGAUUAGAUAGUUGGAUGAGGUAAUGGCUCACCAAGGCGACGAUCAGUAGCUGGUGUGAGAGGAUGAUCAGCCACAUUGGGACUGAGACACGGCCGAAACCCCUACGGGAGGAAGCAGUGGGGAAUCUUGCGCAAUGGGCGAAAGCCUGACGCAGCCAGGCCGCGUGAAUGAUGAAGGUCUUAGGAUUGUAAAAUUCUUUCACCGGGGACGAUAAUGACGGUACCCGGAGAAGAAGCCCCGGCUAACUUCGUG
rnacentral:rRNA from 1 species